rnacentral:rRNA from 1 species
CCAAUAGCGUAUAUUAAAGUUGUUGCAGUUAAAAAGCUCGUAGUUGAAUUUCGGGAUUGACACAUCGGUCGUGCCUUAAGGGGUAUGAACUGGUGUAGUCAAUUUCUCACCUUCUGGAGAACCGCGAUGCCCUUAAUUGGGUGUCGCGGGGAACCAGGACCUUUACUUUGAAAAAAUUAGAGUGUUUAAAGCAGGCAUUUUGCUUGAAUACAUUAGCAUGGAAUAAUAAAAUAGGACGGCAUGAUUCUAUUUUGUUGGUUUCUAGGAUCACCGUAAUGAUUAAUAGGGAUAGUUGGGGGCAUUAGUAUUCAAUUGUCAGAGGUGAAAUUCUUGGAUUUAUUGAAGACUAACUACUGCGAAAGCAUUUGCCAAGGAUGUUUUCAUUAAUCAAGAACGAAAGUUAGGGGAUCGAAGGCGAUCAGAUACCGUCGUAGUCUUAACCAUAAACUAUGCCGACUAGGAAUCAGACGAUGUUAAUUUUUUAAUGACUCGUUUGGCACCUUACG